rnacentral:rRNA from 1 species
ACACCGCGCCUAACCGGGGGGCGCGCACGGCCCGGCUAGCCGGCGUCGGCCGCCCCUCGCGUCGAUACGUGACACGACCAACACGACUCUCGGCAACGGAUAUCUCGGCUCUCGCAUCGAUGAAGAACGUAGCGAAAUGCGAUACCUGGUGUGAAUUGCAGAAUC